GUUGAGAGGGCAGAGGGGGUUAGAGGUUGCGAGAUGGUUGGGAGAGCACAGGAGCUUUGACCGUUUCUCCGUGCUCUUCUUUAUCCGUAGGGAUCGGUAGCUGCGGGGACAGCCCGGGGAUUGGUGUAUGGCCACGGAGUUACGGUGUCCGGACUCCAUGCUCUGUCAGAAUCAGCAAGUAAACUCUUCCUCGACCCAAAACCCUGAGCCGCAGCAAUCUGGAGACCUGAUCCCGGCCCACGCUGAGGGAAACAGCGACUCCGCGGCCAAGCUGACUCUCCUCAGCGGGCACGCCAAUUCUAGCGUACCAGCUGAGUGGGACUCUCAGGUCUCCGGCGGCGCCACCCUCAAUCCAGAAAACAACGGUGGCACUGGCAACUAUGACGCUCCAGCCAGCGAUUCCCUCCUAGGGGACUGCGAAAUCUCCCGGCAGAUCGGGGCGCAGCUUAAGCUCCUGCCAAUGAAUGAUCAGAUCCGGGAGCUGCAGACUAUCAUCCGGGACAAGACAGCCAGUAGAGGGGACUUCAUGUUUUCUGCGGAUCGUUUGAUCAGACUUGUUGUGGAAGAGGGAUUGAAUCAGCUACCAUAUAAAGAAUGCAUGGUGACCACUCCAACAGGGUACAAAUAUGAAGGAGUGAAAUUUGAAAAGGGAAAUUGUGGGGUCAGCAUAAUGAGAAGCGGUGAGGCAAUGGAACAAGGUUUACGAGACUGCUGUCGAUCCAUACGAAUUGAAAAGAUCCUGAUUCAGAGUGAUGAGGAGACACAAAGAGCCAAAGUAUAUUAUGCCAAGUUCCCCCCAGACAUUUACAGAAAAAAAGUCCUUCUGAUGUAUCCAAUUCUCAGUACUGGAAAUACUGUAAUUGAAGCUGUAAAGGUUCUCAUAGAACAUGGAGUUCAACCUAGUGUUAUUAUCCUACUCAGUCUGUUCUCCACUCCUCAUGGUGAGUUCAACAAGAGGCAGCAACUGGGGCUCUCGAUGGUCAUGGAGUGGUUAAGUGUGCAUCUGUCCAACCAUUCAUCCUGA